GACGAACGCUGGCGGCGUGCUUAACACAUGCAAGUCGAACGCUGAAGCUCAACUUUUGUUGGGUGGAUGAGUGGCGAACGGGUGAGUAACACGUGAGUAACCUGCCCCCUUCUUUGGGAUAACGCCCGGAAACGGGUGCUAAUACUGGAUAUUCACUGGUCUUCGCAUGGGGGUUGGUGCAAAGGGUUUUUCUGGUGGGGGAUGGGCUCGCGGCCUAUCAGCUUGUUGGUGGGGUGAUGGCCUACCAAGGCUUUGACGGGUAGCCGGCCUGAGAGGGUGACCGGUCACAUUGGGACUGAGAUACGGCCCAGACUCCUACGGGAGGCAGCAGUGGGGAAUAUUGCACAAUGGGCGCAAGCCUGAUGCAGCGACGCCGCGUGAGGGAUGGAGGCCUUCGGGUUGUGAACCUCUUUCGCUCAUGGUCAAGCCGCAACAAUGGUUGUGGUGAGGGUAGUGGGUAAAGAAGCGCCGGCUAACUACGUG
rnacentral:rRNA from 1 species